rnacentral:rRNA from 1 species
CCUACGGGAGGCAGCAGUGAGGAAUCUUGGUCAAUGGGCGUAAGCCUGACCCAGCAAAGUCGCGUGAGUGAUGAAGGUUCUAUGAAUCUUAAACCUCUUUUAUAAGGGAGUACAGUUCUGGACGUGUCUCUUUUUGUAUUUACCUUAUGUAUAAGGAUCGGCUAACUCCAUGCCAGCAGCCGCGGUAAUACGUUGGGUACGAGCGUUAUCCGGAUUUAUUGGGUUUAGAGUGUGCGUAGGCGGUCUUUUAAGUCAGCGGUGAAAGUCUGCGGCUCAACCAUAGAAUGGACGUGGAAACUGGGAGGCUUGAGGAUGUUUGAGGAAGGUGGAAUGCGAGGUGUAGCGGUGAAAUGCUUAGAGAUCACGCAGAACACCGAUGGCGAAGGCGGCCUGCAAAGCCAUGACUGACGCUGAUGUACGAAAGCGUGGGGAUCAAACAGGAUUAGAUACCCUGGUAGUC